UACAGAGGUCUCAAGCGUUGUUCGGAUUCAUUGGGCGUAAAGGGUGCGUAGGCGGCGCGGCAAGUCGGGUGUGAAAUCUCGGAGCUUAACUCCGAAACUGCAUUCGAUACCGCCGUGCUUGAGGACUGGAGAGGAGACUGGAAUUUACGGUGUAGCGGUGAAAUGCGUAGAUAUCGUAAGGAAGACCAGUGGCGAAGGCGGGUCUCUGGACAGUUCCUGACGCUGAGGCACGAAGGCCAGGGGAGCAAACGGA
rnacentral:rRNA from 1 species